AGUUUGAUCCUGGCUCAGGAUGAACGCUGGCGGUAUGCUAACACAUGCAAGUCGGACGGACACCUUCGGGUGUCAGUGGCGGGCGGGUGAGUAACGCGUAGGAAUCUACCCCUAGGAGGGGGAUAACAGCUGGAAACGGCUGCUAAUACCCCAUACAGGCGCGAGCUGAAAGGAGCAAUCCGCCUAGGGAUGAGCCUGCGUCGGAUUAGCUAGUUGGUGGGGUAAUGGCCUACCAAGGCGACGAUCCGUAGCGGGUCUGAGAGGAUGGCCCGCCACACUGGGACUGAGACACGGCCCAGACUCCUACGGGAGGCAGCAGUGGGGAAUUUUCCGCAAUGGGCGAAAGCUGGACGGAGCAAUACCGCGUGAGGGAGGAAGGCCUUCGGGUUGUAAACCUCUUUUCUGGGGGACGAAGGAGUGACGGUACCCCAGGGAUAAGCCUCGGCUAACUCUGUGCCAGCAGCCGCGGUAAGACAGAGGAGGCGAGCGUUAUCCGGAGUUAUUGGGCGUAAAGGGUACGUAGGCGGCUGGUCAAGUCUGGG
rnacentral:rRNA from 1 species